rnacentral:rRNA from 1 species
CAGUAGCCGCGGGAAUACGUAGGUGGCAAGCGUUGUCCGGAAUUAUUGGGCGUAAAGGGUGCGUAGGCGGUUUGACAAGUCUUAUGUGAAAUCUCUGGGCUCAACCCAGAGUCUGCAUGGGAAACUGUCGAGCUUGAGUAUGGGAGAGGUGAGUGGAAUUUCCGGUGUAGCGGUGAAAUGCGUAGAUAUCGGAAGGAACACCUGUGGCGAAAGCGGCUCACUGGACCAUUACUGACGCUGAUGCACGAAAGCUAGGGGAGCAAACAGGAUUAGAUACCCGCGUAGUCCCUGUCUCUUAUAA